rnacentral:rRNA from 1 species
CCAAUAGUGUAUAUUAAGGUUGCUGCGGUUAAAAAGCUCGUAGUUGAAUUUCGGGAUUGAUGCAUCGGUCGUGCCUUAAGGGGUAUGAGCUGGUGUGGUCAAUUUCUUACCUUCUGGUGAAUUGUGAUGUCCUCCUUAAUUGGGUGUUUCAAUGAACUAGGACUUUUUACUUUGAAAAAAUUAGAGUGUUUAAAGCAGGCAAUAUUUGCUUGAAUACAUUAGCAUGGAAUAAUAAAAUAGGACAAUGAUUCUAUUUUGUUGGUUUCUAGGAUCACUGUAAUGAUUAAUAGGGAUAGUUGGGGGCAUUAGUAUUCAAUUGUCAGAGGUGAAAUUCUUGGAUUAAUUGAAGACUAACUACUGCGAAAGCAUUUGCCAAGGAUAUUUUCAUUAAUCGAGAACGAAAGUUAGGGGAUCGAAGACGAUUAGGUACGUCGUAGUCUUAACCAUAAACUAUGCCGACUAGGAAUCAGACAACGUUAAAUUUUUAAUGACUUGUUUGGCACCUUACG